GGAAGUAAAAGUCGUAACAAAGUUUCCGUAGGUGAACCUGCGGAAGGAUCAUUAUUGUAUAACCGAGGUGCGAGGGCUGUCGCUGACCCGAAAGGUCGUGCACGCCCGAGUGCCCUCACACACAUCCAUCUCACCCCUAUGUGCACCACCGCGUGGGUCCCCCUUUGGCUUGUUCGGAGGGGGGCUUACGUUUUCACACAAACUUUGUAUGCAGUGUAGAAUGUAUUUUUUGUUUUUGCGAUCACGCAAUCAAUACAACUUUCAACAACGGAUCUCUUGGCUCCC
rnacentral:misc_RNA from 1 species